AGGUAAGAGUUUGAAGAAGUACAAACACAGACGAAAGAGAAAAUGUCUGAGAAAAAGGGAAGGAAAGAGGAAGUGGUGACCAGAGAGUACACCAUCAACCUCCACAGACGCCUUCAUAGCUGGUUAGCUUUCUUAAAAACCUUAAUCUCUUCUACGACUGUUCAUGUUGUAGCUGCCUGAUUGUUCAAGUACAUAGUGUUUGUAAUGUGAUCGUCUCUUCCUGCCAUAUUAUAGUUAGGAAUCUUCUUGGACUUCUUGUGGGUUAUUUAAUUAGUGUCUAAAGUUUUAUCCUUUUCUAAAUGUAAAUCAUAUGUUAGGCCUUAAAAAUAAAUCUUUUUCAAAUUCAUUACAUUCAUAAAAAAUGUUGUUUAUGAUAUGGUGAAAAUUAGUAGCAAGCUUCUUUGGCUUACUUUUCGAAACUCAGUUUUGCAAUUGAAUUCACAUUGAAAUGUUGUUUAUAAUAAUCAUAUUCCAUGUGUUCAAUCUUGUUUCAGCUCGCUAUUACUGUUUUGGUGUUUCUUGAAGCAUAAUAAGUAUAACAAACACUGAAUCUUGUUCUGGUUCGGAUUCAAUUUAACCAAAUAUGAUAGUGUUGAAAUGAAAAUGUGAAUUUCAUUUUAAGAUUAGGUUUUAUUUAUCUGCUGAUUGUUUUCUUGAGAUUUAAGGUUUCCUGCUAAUACAUAAUUAAUUUUGUAACAGCACCUUUAAGAAGAAGGCACCAAAGGCCAUUAAGGAGAUCAGGAAGUUUGCAGAGAAAGCCAUGGGGACAAAGGACGUUAGAGUAGACGUGAAGUUGAACAAGCAGAUAUGGAGCAGAGGUAUCAGAGGUCCCCCGAGGAGGAUUAGGGUCCGUGUUGCACGUAAGAGAAAUGACGAUGAAGACGCAAAGGAAGAGUUUUUCUCGCUUGUCACUGUUGCUGAAAUCCCUGCCGAAGGACUCAGUGGACUCGGCACUAAGGUCAUCGAUGAGGAGGAUUGAGAGGAGAGGACUAGUCUGUCACUUAGACAAGUUUUGGUGUUUUUCUUUUAAUUUCUCGUUUUUUUUCAUUCAACAAGUCACAGAUGCAGUUUAUUGGAAAGACUCAUUUUCUAGAUCUUACGAUGAAUCUUUUUAUCUUCUGGAUUUUUUUCUUGAAAUCUCACAUUUUUAAGACGGUCCUAGUGAUAAUCAAGGUGAACCUUAGUUGUCUAUGCAAUCAAUUGAACCUAACAUUUCGUUAAACAUAUAAAUGUCAAAAAAAAAAAACAUAUAAAUGUCAAAUGAAAUAAACUUUAUGUAAUUCAAGAUACGUUCAUAGACAAGUCCGAAUCAAAAAAAUGUUUUCACUUUUCCGUAAUAAAGGAAAACAGAAGGACUCGAAAAUCAGUUCCAUGUGAUGUCAGCGUACCUUUUGAACGAAGACAUCCAUCACGCCAGGCCAGCUCUAGUUCGUUUCGCGUAUAAAAAGAAAAAGACGUCGACAGCAGGAUUCGAACCUGCGCGGGCAAAGCCCAAUUGAUUUCGAGUCAAUCUCCUUAACCACUCGGACAUAUCGACUUUUUGUAUGAUUCUCUCCUUUGACUACCUAUGAUAGUAUUGACCACAUCUGACGCUUCAAAUUAUAGAAAACCAAAAUUCUAUAAAGGCCACAACAUUUGUUUCAACUUUUCUAAGUGAUAAUAUUAUGUAAUAUGUGUUUAUGUGGCUAUCGGUCAAAAAGCUUCUUCCGCCCCCCGGUCUUGAAAUAUAAUUAAGUACUUACAUUUUUCCGGUUCGUGAAACUUAAUUUCUCCAGAUAACCGAACAAAACCAGUUCCAUGUCAUCGUAAAAUAUCCAAAUCGUUCAUUAAGCAACGUAUAAUGUAAAAUUAACCGGAACUGGUUCACAAAACCAGACCGAGCAGCAACAUAUAUAUAAAAAACAUAAAAAUGAGUUUUGUGCAAAGGUAAUCUUCUUAAAGGUCAGCUCUUCCAGGAUAGCGAGGGAAGGGAAUAACGUCUCUGAUGUUGUCCAUUCCUGUCGCAAACAGAACCAUACGCUCGAACCCAAGUCCGAACCCUGAAUGCUUCGCUGUUCCGUAACGUCUCAAGUCCAAGUACCACUCGUAUGGCUCCACUGGUAGUCCCAUCUCCUCAAUUCUGUUCAUACCAACAAAAAAAAAACACAAUCAAAGAAACAUCCAACAUUAAACAAAUUAAUUUCACUUUCACCAACCUUUCCAUGAUAACGUCAAUCCUUUCUUCCCUUUGGCUUCCACCAAUGAGUUCUCCAACCUAAUUAAAAAAGACGCCAUCAAUGUAUACUCUUCCAUGAUUAAAUGAUUCAACUUUACCUUUGGAACGAGGACAUCCAUGGCAGCAACGGUCUUCCCAUCAUCAUUAAGCCUCAUGUAGAAAGCCUUGAUUCCUUUCGGGUAGUUGUAAACAAUCAGAGGCUUCUGAAACACAACCUCUGUCAAGUACCUAUAAGAUAUGAGACAAGACAACAUUAGUAACGUUUUUUCUUGCAUUUUAAGUUGAAAAAUAGUUUUUUAACCUUUCGUGCUCAGAUGCUAAGUCGAUCCCCCACUCCACUGGGUUAACAAACUCCUUCCCUUUCCCCACAGCUUCCUCAAGCAGCUCUAUCGCUUUGGUGUACGUUAACCUACCAAACGGAGUCGACGCAACCAGCUUCAGCCUAUCGAUACACCGGCCAUUAGCUCCAUGUCAUCGUACCGCUUCUCGAGCAGCCACUUGCACAUGUACCUCACGUACGCCUCCGCGCAGUUCAUAUCGUCCUCUAGAUCGGCGAAAGCUAACUCAGGCUCCACCAUCCAGAACUCGGCGAGAUGUCUCGACGUGUGAGAGUUCUCCGCUCGAAAAGUAGGACCGAACGUGUACACGUCGCUCAGACCGCAAGCGUAGGUUUCCACUUGUAAUUGACCUGAGACCGUCAAGAAAGCUUGACGGCCGAAGAAAUCUUGAGUAUAAUCAAUCUUUCCAUCGAGUUUAGGCAAUCCAGGUUUGAGCCUUGACCUCUCUUCGGUCCUGGAUAAGCUCGCUUUUGCUUCGUUGAGUUCAGCAACGGAGGCUGUGAUCGUUUCCUUGCUUGCUUUAGCGGAUUUGAGCUGCGCUACGGCUUCGCCUCUCGCCUUGACGAUGAGUCUGGCGGCUUCGACGUCGGCCUCGGUGGGUGGAGGGUUUUCGAUGAGGUCUCUCUCCAGCUUCUCGGUGUGGCUGAUGAGAGUUGUUACUUGGAACAUCUCUCCAGCUCCUUCGCAGUCGCUUGUUGUGAUGAUUGGGGUUUGAAUGUAGAGGAAACCUUCUUCGUCGAAGAAUGUGUGUGUGGCUAUAGCGAGUGCGUGUCGGAUUCUUGCAAUUGCUGAGAUCUGAAAAACACAGGGAAACAAAAAACAGGACAAUUCACUUAAACCUAACUUUCUGAUCAAGUAAUCAUUUUUCGAAUAAGGCUGUAAAUGUAACCAUCGUCACUCAACCGUAAAGACGAUUAAGAGAUCUGAAACCACAAGGAAGCAAAAACAGGAGACUCUACUUAAACCUAACUGAAAUCAAAUAACUUUCUGAUCAAGUAAUCAUUUUAGACUAAGGAUGCAAAGAAUCUGUAAUCAUCAAUGAAACUGAGGCCAACAAAGACAGACACUCCACUCAAACCUAAUUGAAAUCAAAUAACUUUCUGAUCAAGUAAUCAUUUUCCACUAAGGCUGCAAAGAAUAGGUAAUCAUGAGCGUCACUGAGGCUAGCAAAAACAGGACACACCGCUCAAACCUAAUACUAUAAUCAAAUAACUUUCUGAUCAAGUAAUAGUUUUUUUCGAUUAGGGCUGUAAAUGAAUCUCUAGUAAUCGUCACUGAGGCUACGAAAGCUAGAAGAAUCUCAAUAACUAAACCCUAAACCCAUGAACACUCCACUCAACUCAAACCUAACUUUCUGAUCAAGAAAUCAUUUUUUGAUUAGAUCUGUACAUAAUCUCAAUAACUAAACCAAUCCCAUAACAUAUUCGAACAAAGUAAGUGAUCUUUAUUACCGAAUUGGUCCUAGAACGAAGAUGAGGAAACUCUCUCAACCUCUCAAGAGUCAGCUUCGUCUUAGGAAUCGGGUAAGUAGCAGUAUCAACCGUCCCCACAUCAAUCACCUCCACAACACUAAGCUCAACCUUCUGCUUCGUCCCUUUACCUUCGGGAGGAAUCUUCAAGCACCCAUCGACGGUCACGCAAGUCCCCGUCGCAACCAGCUUGGUGAGAUCUGAAACCGAAGCGUCCACCAUAACCUGAAGAUUCGCAGGGCACGAUCCGUCGUUAACCUCGAGGAAAGCGAAAGCGCCUUUCCCUUGCUCCCUCCCCGUUUUGACCCACCCGCUGAUUCGGACCUUUUGACCCGCGAGUCCGGCUCCGCCGUCGGGUCGGCCCAGAAUCGAGCGGAUGCGGACUCGGUCUGAGAACCGCGCUUUUUGCACUGUUGAAGAUGAGAUUCCAUCGCUGGAUAUGGAUACGGCGGGUACUUGAUGUGCCGGUGGUGGAACCUCGUCGGCCAUGAGUUUGGGGGCGCUGGAGACAGAACCCUAGAACAGCUAAGCAAGAACAUAACGUGAAGGGGUAUGAUUGGAAAUUAACACCCCGCGGAUUCUAGUGGUUGUGGUUUGUAAUUUCGUAUCAUAAGAUUCUUAAACAAUUAGUUUACUAAUCUUUCCACCUCCAUAUAAAAUAUUCGUAAGAUAAUCAAAUUACUAUAGCUGGUUAAUGUUUCGUUUUUUUUUAAUAAAUUCUUGUAUUUGUUUAUGAUUUGUAUAUUAUAUAAAUAAAUAAAAUAUGAUGUUGAGUUCUAUUAUAUUAUCUUCGGUGUUCAAAAAAGAAGAAGAUAAUAUGAUUUCAAAUAUGAUAGUUAGGUCGGUAACAUUGUAGAACAAUUGUUUAAAAUAUUUUAAGUUGGUUAGCAAUUUUCACACCUGCACAAAAAAAAAAUGAAGAGAAUCAAACAACUCGAAUAAACAAAAGACUCACCCAAUAUCUAACGUACCUGGCCAUCGUGACCACGUAACGUUGUAUUCAAUUAUGAUGCAUCUUAUUUUUUUCCCUCAGGAUAAUAAAAUUUAAGAAGUUUCAAGGUGUAUUGGGACGUCGUCAAAAGUCAACCACAUGCCUCCAUAGGACUUCCAAAAUAACAGAAUAAUUUCCCAGGCAUCACGGUCAUCGUAUCAGUAAGAGAACGAUAUUAAUUCUCCCUUAUCAUUUAUUAGAAACAUUUUUGUUGUCAUCUUCUUCUUGACUUUUCCAACCAAAAUACAUCCUCCCGUCUGUUCUUUUUUUUUCUGGUCAACACACUCUUGAUCAUUUAUGGGUGAAACAAGAUCCAUGAUCACGUUCUUCUUGUUGGUGACCUUCCUACAGAUCAUCUUCCUAGCUCACGGAGCAGCAGGAGAGACGACCACAGAGUUCAUUUUUCAAGGCUUUAAAGUAAACCAAUCAAAGCUUCAAUUAGAAGAAGAUGCAACCAUCACGCCCAACGGACUACUAAGGCUAACCAAUCGAAACUCAGACCGCGCGGGAACGGCUUUUUACAACAAACCGGUUAGACUGCUCGACAAUAACUCCACGGUUCGUUCUUUUAGCACUUCCUUCAUCUUUGUCAUCAUCCCUUCAAGCUCAAACAACGGAGGUUUCGGGUUUACAUUCACACUAUCCCCAACCCCAAACCGUCCAGACGCGGAGACCGCGCAGUACUUGGGUCUUCUCAACGAAGACGACGACGGUGAUCCGGAUAAUCACGUAUUCGCAGUGGAGUUCGACACGGUUCAAGGAUACAAAGACAGCACAGAUCGAAUAGGCAACCACAUCGGUCUAAAUUUCAACAGUCUCUCUUCACAAAUUGUGGGCUUUACUGCUAUUUAUAAGUUCUAUCGUUACCCCGACAGGUUAAGGAUGCGACUCAGCCAGGUAUAAAAAUAUAUACCUCAAUGAUCUCAGUUCUUUUUGCAUUCUUUUGAGUUGACUUGUUGCGCUGAUUCUUCGUUUUGAUUCCAGAUCCUGGUCCUGCCUUCCUUCCAAGGAAAAGGAUUUGGAAGCUACCUCAUGGAGAUUGUAAACAAAAUGGCCGUAUCAGAAAACGUUUACGAUCUAACAGUGGAAGAGCCAUCCGAAAAGUUCCAGCACAUCCGCACUUGCAUAGACAUAAACCGCUUGCUCGCUUUCGAUCCAAUCAAACCGGCCAUCGAUUCAGCUGUUGAGACUCUCACAAAAGGAAAGCUAUCGAAGAAAGCUCAGAUACCUCGCUUCACUCCACCUUCGGAUGCCGUCGAGAAGGUCCGUGAAGCUCUGAAGAUCAACAAGAAACAGUUCCUCAAAUGCUGGGAGAUCUUGAUAUAUCUCGCGCUUGAUCCUAUCGACAAAUACAUGGAGGAUUACGCAUGUGUCAUCACGAACCAUGUGAGAAUCGAUAUUCUUGGAAAAGAUAUAGAGGCUCCAAAGAAGCAGGUGGUGGAUGUUCCAACGACGUUCGAAGCUGAAGCAUCGUUUGUGGUUUUCAAGUGUGUGAAUGGAGAAGAAGCUAAUAACAGCAAUGUUCAAGUGGAUGAAAACAAACCGGAUCAAGAGCAGCAGCUGAAGCAAUUGGUUGAAGAAAGGAUUCGUGAGAUCAAGUUGGUUGCUGAGAAAGUCUCUAGAAAAUGAGAAUCUGAGUUGAAUAAAAACUUUGAGAGAGAUAUUUAUCAGAAGCUUUUUUGUUGAGUGUUCAAACUCUGUGGUCUUUAAAAAGACAAAUCUGUUUGUAUUCUCUUUGUACCGGUUUGUUACGGAGGUUUGAGUAAACAGUGUAGUUCCGGUUUAGCGGUUUCGUUCGGUUAUGCAACUAUUAGCACAAUUUACAUUCAUACCCGUAGUAAAUGUUUGAGGGCAAUUUCUUAAGUUUUCCUGUAGUGUAGCUGUUGAGUUACGUGCUGGGCCUUUAAUGGGCUCAAAACUUCUAAGGGCGUGAGAGGUUAAUGCUACAUGCUAACUAUAAUGGCACACACACUCAGCCCACUAAAGCCCAUAUAAAUCAUCUAGGUUUAGUUCAGUGUAGCAUAUAAAAUGCUUACUUCUCCCCCUUCUACGCCUUUCUGUCUGUCGACGUUCUUCAAGCCGCAAAGGUACUCUCUCUCGAGCUCAAUUCUUAGUUCUAUGAUCGUUAUAAUCUAGCAGUUUACAGAUCUGUUUAGUUUCCCGAUAAGUGAAUCUACUUAUAAGUGGUAUUUGAUAGGUAAGAGUUUGAAGAAGUACAAACACAGACGAAAGAGAAAAUGUCUGAGAAAAAGGGAAGGAAAGAGGAAGUGGUGACCAGAGAGUACACCAUCAACCUCCACAGACGCCUUCAUAGCUGGUUAGCUUUCUUAAAAACCUUAAUCUCUUCUACGACUGUUCAUGUUGUAGCUGCCUGAUUGUUCAAGUACAUAGUGUUUGUAAUGUGAUCGUCUCUUCCUGCCAUAUUAUAGUUAGGAAUCUUCUUGGACUUCUUGUGGGUUAUUUAAUUAGUGUCUAAAGUUUUAUCCUUUUCUAAAUGUAAAUCAUAUGUUAGGCCUUAAAAAUAAAUCUUUUUCAAAUUCAUUACAUUCAUAAAAAAUGUUGUUUAUGAUAUGGUGAAAAUUAGUAGCAAGCUUCUUUGGCUUACUUUUCGAAACUCAGUUUUGCAAUUGAAUUCACAUUGAAAUGUUGUUUAUAAUAAUCAUAUUCCAUGUGUUCAAUCUUGUUUCAGCUCGCUAUUACUGUUUUGGUGUUUCUUGAAGCAUAAUAAGUAUAACAAACACUGAAUCUUGUUCUGGUUCGGAUUCAAUUUAACCAAAUAUGAUAGUGUUGAAAUGAAAAUGUGAAUUUCAUUUUAAGAUUAGGUUUUAUUUAUCUGCUG
rnacentral:lncRNA from 1 species